AUUAGCUGUGAGUGGGAACAGCUGGCUCCUGCACCACGUCUGAUAAAGCUGGCGAGAACCCGCAGGCACCACUCUCCUCUCUGUGACUGAAAUGAUGGGAGCUGUUCGGGCCUUGCUUAUUUGUGUGCUGACUUCCCUGCUAACCAAAGGCAUUUGCAUUCCAGUUGGCGACAAAAGUGAAACCGAUGGAGGAGGACUGCCAACGUGGAUGGGAGGGUUCCCCGAUAGCCUUUCCAUCAAGAAGGGCCUGGGAUUCAUCCAGACACUGGCCGAUUUGAUGAAGGAAAACGCUAAACAAG